rnacentral:rRNA from 1 species
CCUACGGGAGGCAGCAGUGAGGAAUAUUGGUCAAUGGGCGCGAGCCUGAACCAGCCAAGUCGCGUGAAGGAUGACUGCCCUAUGGGUUGUAAACUUCUUUUAUAAAGGAAUAAAGUUAUGCACGUGUGCCUAUUUGCAUGUCCUCUAUGAAUAAGGAUCGGCUAACUCCGUGCCAGCAGCCGCGGUAAUACGGAGGAUGCGAGCGUUAUCCGGAUUUAUUGGGUUUAAAGGGAGCGUAGAUUGUUUUUUAAGUCAGCUGUGAAAGUUUGCGGCUCAACCAUAAAAUUGCAAUUGAAACUGGCAGUCUUGAGUGCGGUUGAGGUAGGCGGAAUGCGUGGUGUAGCGGUGAAAUGCAUAGAUAUCACGAAGAACUCCGAUUGCGAAGGCAGCUUACUAAGCUACAACUGACAUUGAUGCUCGAAAGUGUGGGGAUCAAACAGGAUUAGAUACCCUAGUAGUC